rnacentral:snoRNA from 1 species
UUGCAGCCAGUUAAGCCGACUGUGCUCUUUUCCCCAUGGGGGCCCGGUGCGCAAUGGCUGCAAACAGCAGCCUCCUCGGUAGUGUAUGCAACCUGUUGCCUGUAUGGGUUGCCCUAAGGGACCUUGGAGACAGCC